AGAGACUCCUGGGGCAGCGGAAGGCCAUACCAGCACACUUCAGUCCAAGUAGGUUUUGCUGACUUCUUUCUCUCCCUGAGGGAGUACGAUGGAGGAGUAGGAACAUGUAUGGCUGCUCCUGGGAUGCGUUGCCAGAACCGGCUAUAGGGUUUGGAAUGGCGCCUCAGGGGGUCCAGGGAGAGAGGACAGACACAGGCAUCGCUGAGGGUGGCCUGGGGGUGAGGGAUGGACCCCCUGAACAUGAGAGGACACUUCUGGAAGGGCACUCCCAUCAUCUGCGCCCCUAGACUGGGCAUAGGACAUGACUCUCUGCCUGUGGGGUCUGGUUAGAUCUAAGGCAGGGCCUGGCAAUCCUCACAGCCUUGCUAAGCCAGCCCAUCCUCACAGGUUCUCUUCGGGGCCUUCAGAAUAUUAGGCCAGUGGCUUCUGAGUAACCAGAAGGGCAGGGAGGGCAGGAGGAGGUUGGACCGCUGAUUCUGAGGCAAGUUCUUGAUGGGACUCAGCCCACAACCUCUGGGCAGAUUCUUUGGCCUCAGUUUCCCUCUUCUUCCUUCCCCUCCCUUUUCCCCUCUGCUCCGCGUCUGUGGGAUAAUGAGGCGAUCCCGGGGGCGGGUGCUAAUUAUUGUUUGUGCAGGACUGGGAGAUGCUCAGAUGAAAGGGACUGGAGCAGGGCCCCUGGGUCUGUGCCACAGCUCGGGGCCCCUAGGUGUGGGGUUUUAUAGCCUUAAUGAUGGUGAUUAGCAUGGCUCUUCACUGGUUCUGCCAACACCUAACUGUGCCCUGGCUGUCUUUCCACCAAGCCCUCCUGAGGCAGCCUCUGCUCCUUCCCCUCACAGAGGUGCUCAGGAUGAGGGUUUGGGAGCAGGGAGCUAAGAGAUCUCUCAUUUCUCUGUGGAGACUCUUGGGGUCAGUUGGGUGACCCAGCUCCUCGUGCGGGUUACCUUCUACAAAGUCAGAGUCCCAUCCCCGUCUUCUUGAAGCCCCCUGAUCUCUUCCCCUUUGGGCUGUAGCUUGUCCACCAACCGUUCUCACUUUGGGCCUCCUUUGCCAGAACAUCCCCUCCCCCAGACUCGUCCCUAGUUGGGAGAAAGGGCAGAGGACGGCAGAAGAAUGGGUCCCUCCACCUUGGGCCCCCUUCCCACUUGGUUUUCCUCACCCUGGGCAGGUGAGAUCUCUGUCCUUUGGCACCCUUCCAGCCCCCUCGUGCAGUCUUGUCUGCUCCAGAGCGUCCAGGCAGCCUUCAAAUUUAGUCCCUGGGACAGCAGGGCUGUGCAUGGCCAGCUCUGCCUUGGCUGGCUUUCCGCACGGUCCCCGACUCCCCCAGUAUCGGGCAGUCUUUCCCAGGGCUGGCAGGGGGCCCAGGUGUGGCCAGGGGUUGAGAAGCCAGGGGACACCAGGGUAGAGGGAAGGGGUUGGGGAACGGAGGCCCCUCCCCUGAUUCCCAUCUCUCCCAGGAGAGGACGUGAGGGCCCAAGCCUUAGCACCCACUCUCCCGAAAUAGCUCUCUGGCGGCUCUAGGGCGACUGAGAGAUGGGGACUAAGCCCAGAGCGGCCCAGCCCAGCCUGCUCUGUGCUCCCAGCCUCCCCCUCACUCCUCUCCAAGUCGGCCCAGCCAGCGGUUUGUUUAAACAAAACAAUAGCAACCUAAGCUGGCUGUUUCUUUUCAAUUCCCCACAGGCUUGGGUCCCACCCAGAGUGAUAAACAGGCCUCUCUCCUCUGUGUGAGUGCAGGGAGGGGUGAGGGUGGGGGCUGGGGCCUGUAAGGUCAGGGAGUUUGUGCAGAGCAGCAUGGAAAGUCUGAUCUGUGGCCCUGAUCAGGGUGGAAAGGCUCUCCUACCCCUCCCUUUCACUCCAGGGAGUCUUUUCUCAUCAACUGGGGCCAGCUUGGCACAGACACAUGCACACCCGCACACCCGCCGAUUCAUUGAGUAAAGCCAGCAGUCCUUCCUGCCUGCCUCCCCUGGCGGAGAGCUCAGCUGAGGCUGCUGCUGGGGGAGCGUGAGCAGAGGGCACUGAUGGCUUCAGCGUUUUCAGGGUCUCUCUGGAGCUUGUUAUACAGACAGGCACUGGUCCUUAGAAGGAAGGGCAGGAAGGCUCUAAGGAAGCGCCAGGCUGUAGAGGCGCCCCUGCAGAGCAUGUGGUCAGUGUGGCUGCUGCCUGCAAGCUGCCAAGUGGCAAAGGAUCCAGGAAAAGGCACAGGAUUGGAAAGUGCUACCCAGCAAUCUGUGUAUUCUGCAAUUAAGAAGGGGGGCUGACAGUGAACUUGGCCUUGCUGCCCUAGCCCUUCACUACUCAGAACAGCAGCAGCAUCACCUGGGAAUUUGUCAGAAAUGCAGAAUCUCGGGCGCCACCCUGGACACACGUGAAUCAGAAUCUUCCUUUUAACAAGAACCUGCAGUGAUUCUAUACGUACAUUAAAGUCUGAGAAGCGCUGCCUCAGAGUCCUGCUCUCAGACCUUUCUGCCCACUUUCCCUGGGGUCUCUGGACUGGUGGCAGCAAUGGUGGGAACCUUUGUUCCUGACAGGUCUCCUUCAGGCUUCGGAACCUUUGGAAUCACCCUUCCCCGGCACCACUGACUGGUCCUGAAGUGGCCCCAGCUCUCAAGUCUGACUAUUUGGACUGGUCAGACUCCUGGGCGGUCAGAGGAGAUGGGUGGACUGGAGGCGUUGGGGCUUGGCCAGGACUGAGAAGACACCAGGCACAUCCUCUCUCCAGCACCCCCACCUGGAGUUGCAGAAACAGCCCCAGAUCAGUGACUCUCAGUGUCACUUGCUGUUCUGGACAUUUGAGUUUCUGGAGUUGGGCAGGGCAGUCCCUCCUGCUGGUGGAGGACCUGGGUGGGGGACCUGGGUGUAGUUUGAUGGGCACUAGCAGGGGAUGUUUGACACGCCCAUGGUAGCUCCUUUCUCCCUGAUCAUGCUCCUCACUCCUGACCCUCUUUGGGGAACGUUUAUUCCCCAGGUGUUCAGGGACCUCCCGGGAAGGAAGAGGCAAGAGAGCAUUGUUCUUCCUUGUAGCCUGUAGGCCAGAGGGGGGUUGCAUGAGGCUCCCCAGGUGUGUGGGUCAGGGUUUGCUUUAGGGCCCUGGUCCUAGUAGGAGGCCUGCCACUAAGUGACUUCCUCAGGUUUCCCCCCUCUGAGAUGCCCAAGUAAAACCGUCAUCCCUGGCAAGCUGCCAGUCUGCCCUCUCAUUCGUUGGCCAUGCCAGGGCCUGUGUGGUGGGCCUUUGCACCCCUGCCUGUCUGUGUCAGGCCAGGCUCCUUUUUCUGGGCCAAGGGAAAUGUGAAUGUGACCCGCUGGAGGCCUGCCAGGACUGGGGCUUGCUCUCUCAUUCUGUUGUGUCACCUUUUACAGUGCCCGGCAGGCAAAUGCCAAUCUGGGGAGCUUGGCAAUUACGAUGCAAAAACAACCGAGACUGAACUCUGUAAACACCCUGGCCUCACAGUUGCUCUGCCUCUGGAAUGCUUGGGGACUGACAUAACCCUGGGGAAGGGAAAGGAGAUCUACAGCCCUCUCUGGCAAGGCCAGCGGAGCCCGGGUCACUAGGCUGUCCCUUUAGGGGUGGUCAUCUAUUGGGGGGCCUCUCAGCUGAGCCCCGUGGGCUGAUGGGAAGGCAGGUGGAGAGCUAGGCUUAGGGCAGUUGCCGUGCUUGGCUUCCUGCCCUAUGGGGAUUGUCAUCAGUCUCCAAGUGUGUUGAAAUGAGUCUUUGCACAAGCUUGAGGAGGGCCCAGCAGUUCCAGGUGACAGUGCCCAGGGCCAUGAGGAGAUGGGAGGAAAGGGGAUGGGGUGACAACAGGGAAGAAUCCCAAAGAGGGUCAAGGGGCCUCCACAGCUGCUGACUCCCCAAGCUUCUGGAUCUGGGGCUCGGUCUGCCUAUCCCUGAACCAUGUGGCUGGACCUCAGAGGCCUUCCACCCCAGGAGUCUGCGAUUCUAGGAUGCCAGGCUGAUCCCAAGGCUAGGCCACAGGGAGCCGAGACAAACUUCUCCCCAGAACUUUUUAUUGUGAGCAGUCAAUUGCCCUGGCAUCUAAGGCUGCAGUGCACAAGCAAGGGGUCUUUAAUGAACGCAAAUGACAGCUGAUUAAUCUGCCUCCUCUCUGUGGGGUCUGGCCACGCUCCAUUCGGCCUCCAUGGCCUGCACCAGCAGGGUGGGCUCCAGCCUAUUACCACUGCGCUUGCAGCCCUAAUGGGGAAGAGGGGCAAGCCUCCCAGCCUGCAGUCCUGUCAUGCAUGAAGGGCUGACCCCUGCAGGAGUGGGUUUGGCCCCGCCAGACUCUCUCUCUGGGUGCUCCCCUACAGGAAGGGGGCAGCCUGCAAGGAAAGAUGCAAGCAGGUGCUCAGUGGGAUUUGUGCAAAGGGGUUAAAUUUGGGAGGUAAGUGGGGGCACUGUCUAGACAACGGCAGAUGGUUUGUUUAUGUUACUUGCCGACUGUGGCCUCAAGAAAGCAGCAGGUUCCUCAGAUCCUUCGUACUGUGGGAAAAGGCAGAGGGGGAAGGAUGGGGGCCACAGAGAAUCCCUCUUUCUCUGCCAGGUCACCUGCCCUGGCUCCUGGCUAAUAUCAAUGCAGUCCAUAUUUACUGUUGUGCUAGGUGCCAAGCGCGGUGCAGGUGUGCGGGUGGUUUACAGUCUGACAGUAACACAAUGAAGGGGUAGUUACAGAUGUGAUGCAUGCUAGCAAGAGGAUUUACAGAGGGCAGGGAGGGCUUCCUGGAAGAAACAGAAAGACUCCCCACCUGAUAGUGGUGCUUGGCGGGGGGAGGGGAGGGAGAACUGUGCACUGGGAUGGAAAGGCCCCUAUUUCCAGACUCUAGCUACUGGGCGUGGGCUCUUUCAGGGCCCGUAUCACCUCCCUGAGUUGAGGGAGGAGUAGGAGAGGGAGUGAGUUAGGACUGGAAUGGAGGCUACUGACCUUCUCCUGGGCAGGACCCCUGGCUGAGAAGCAGAAGCAGAGGUCCCUUCUAGGGGAGAAACCCCUCGGUUUCUAUUGCAAUAAAGAAGGGGCCCCGAGCUCUCUCCUGCCACAGCCUCUAAUGAUGGGGUUGGGAUGUAAUGAACAUCUGUGUACUCAUAAAACAGCCUAAUGACC